rnacentral:lncRNA from 1 species
CGCAGCUUCAUCAUCUCCUCCUACUCCUUCCGCAACCCUUCCUCCAACACCUUCACCACCAUCAUCGAUAUACGAUCCCUCACCCCUCUCUACAUCAACGACAAACCCUACGACAUCUUCUUCGACCACCACCAAAUCGAGCCCCAACACGGCGCGUCUCUCCCACGCGGCCCCUUAGGGUUGUCCACCGCUCCCUACU